CUUGCCGACUGGCGUGACACCACCAUGGGUCCGGCUGGGACAAAUACGCUUACAGGGAAGGAGUCAGGAAAGAGGGAGAGAUGGCCGACCCAGUGUCCACACAGACAUGACAAGGUCUUUUCCUGCCCUUUUUGGAGCCAGGGGAAAGCGCCGGCGCGUUCAAGGGCCUUCCAACCACUCCACACCGGUCAAAGAGAUAGAAGUUACAUCUUAUCUCUUACCCAAAAUUGUUGAGUGCACUCCCAAAGGCAGUGAAGAAGUUUUCCAUCUGCAAGGUCCACGCUGAUACCAGAGAACUACACCCAU